CAUUCAAUGAGGAUUGGUUUGUGAGUAAUAGUGGCAGUUGUGAAAACAGAUAAAAAAAGAGAAUGUUAGCAAUUUCACAUAUUGCAGGAUGGUGCAUGACUUUAUGGCCACCCUGUACAUAUAAAUAAAUACUUUGUUCU